CCCAGACUCCUACGGGAGGCAGCAGUGAGGAAUAUUGGUCAAUGGGCGGGAGCCUGAACCAGCCAAGUCGCGUGAAGGAAGAAGGUACUUAGUAUUGUAAACUUCUUUUGUCGGGGAACAAAGGCGGAGACGCGUCUCCGGAUGAGUGUACCCGAAGAAAAAGCAUCGGCUAACUCCGUGCCAGCAGCCGCGGUAAUACGGAGGAUGCGAGCGUUAUCCGGAUUUAUUGGGUUUAAAGGGUGCGCAGGCGGGAGAUCAAGUCAGCGGUAAAAUGUCGGGGCUCAACCCCGGCCGGCCGUUGAAACUGGGUGCCUUGAGUGGGCGAGAAGUACGCGGAAUGCGUGGUGUAGCGGUGAAAUGCAUAGAUAUCACGCAGAACUCCGAUUGCGAAGGCAGCGUACCGGCGCCCAACUGACGCUGAAGCACGAAGGCGUGGGUAUCGAACAGGAUUAGAUACCCUUGUAAU
rnacentral:rRNA from 1 species